rnacentral:rRNA from 1 species
GACGAACGCUGGCGGCGUGCUUAACACAUGCAAGUCGUACGGUAAGGCCCUUUCGGGGGUACACAAGUGGCGCACGGGUGAGUAACACGUGAGUAACCUGCCCACAACUUUGGGAUAACGCUAGGAAACUGGUGCUAAUACUGGAUAUGUGCCCCUGCUGCAUGGUGGGGGUUGGAAAGCUCCGGCGGUUGUGGAUGGACUCGCGGCCUAUCAGCUUGUUGGUGGGGUAGUGGCCUACCAAGGCGGCGACGGGUAGCCGGCCUGAGAGGGUGACCGGCCACAGUGGGACUGAGAUACGGCCCAGACUCCGACGGGAGGCAGCAGUGGGGAAUAUUGCACAAUGGGCGCAAGCCUGAUGCAGCAACGCCGCGUGCGGGAUGACGGCCUUCGGGUUGGAAACCGCUUUCAGCAGGGACGAAGCUUUUUGUGACGGUACCUGCAGAAGAAGCACCGGCUAACUACGUG